CGGGUUCUCAAUGAAAGUUAUACAUCAUUGGCGUUUGGUUGUUCCUAGUUACAUGUUGCGUGGAUCAUUGCGGUUAAGAUUAUCAUCUUGAGAUAUGUAUAUCACCCGCUGCCAUAACUACCAUCAUCUAUUGGUGUUGAUAUACUUUGCUAUCCUCUUGGAAAUAUGUCAAGCUCGCCGAACAGUGAGACGCAUUCGAACCAGUUAUGGUAGUACUAGUGGGACAUCCUCUUCCUCCUUGUCUACCAUCAGUGUGAUAUGGAUUUCAUGUGCUGUAAUUGGCGUGCUAUUCAGUAUAGGAAUGAUCUACUUAUGUUACCGUCAUUGGAUGAGAAAUAAAGCUAGAAAUGAGGAACGGGAAAGACAGGCCGUGAUUGCUACCCAAGCUCACCAUGCUGCGAGUAACGAUCAAGCUGCUACCAACCACGCGUUAUCAUCUUAUACCCAACCCGGUGAAGGAACUUAUUCGACAGGUCCUGGAUAUCCAAAGACAUCCGUUCCACUGUAUCCUCUAGAAAUGGUACCACCAGCUUACAAUCAAGCCAUCAAUCCGGAGGAUUCUUAUGAAAAGUAUCGUACGGAUGAACCAAAAUAGUUCCAGUAUCUGAUUCUAUAAUAAUUGGCUGAGUUUCGUAGCUUCGUUUUAGCUAGGAGGAACAAUUCCUUUGUAUUUCUACAACAAACAAAUUUUUCUACCAUCAUUUUCUAUUUGUGGACUACGUGCAAGGGUGUCACUAGACCAUUUUUUUUUGGAGGGGGGGCGGCUUUGUCAAAAUCAUUUUUUGCUAUUUGCCGACAAAGUUCUGAACAAUUCCCGUUUGCUAACAUAAUUCCUGCAUGGGGAUACCCCACAAAAGUCAUAUCUCCGUCUAAAAACGACCCCGAUUGGAUCGUUCAAAAUAGACUGCAUUCAAGAGGAAACCAAUUCAUGAUUCCUCGAAGAGACCAACGAAUUCAUUAUGUGGCUGACAAUCGAGAAAAUAACGCGGCUGAACUAUACAAACAAUACACACUGCAUGUAUAAUACAGUUUUGAAAUGUAUAUUAGUAUAGUAAACAGCAAAGAGUUUUGUGAUUGAUGUUUGUUAUCAUACAGCAGCGCAGAACUCGAGUUUUUUGAAAUAUUUAUUCCCUUUUUUCAUUGACAUGAAAAAUGUGUAUUCUUCUUUACAUCAAUGCAGUGCUGCCUUAUGUCUGAGAUAUGUAGAUUUAUAGUGCAGACUAUUAAAGUCUCCAUAAUGUCGAUUCUAAGCGAAUUGAGCUAAUAAUGUAAUUAUCUUUGAACAAUAAUUUGAGAAAUUAUGUACUAUGUAGUUAGGUUUAGUAUAAUGUACAGCAAAAAUUUAAGUAGUCUUCCUGAAUUUAUUAUCGUUAUUAUUAUUUUAUAUAUUUGAUAGAGUUUAAUAAGUACUUGUAAUGCAGUAUCUAUAUAUCUAUAUAUAUAUCUGUAUUCAUAUACUAAUUCCAGUGAGGCAUAAUGAUAUAAAAAAGUGACAUAUGAUUUUGAAGUUAUCAUUAAAAGAAAGAUCUGAAUAUACAAAAA